rnacentral:rRNA from 1 species
UACGAAGGGGGCUAGCGUUGUUCGGAAUUACUGGGCGUAAAGCGCGCGUAGGCGGUGAUCUUUGUCAGAGGUGAAAGCCCGGGGCUCAACUCCGGAAUUGCCUUUGAAACGGGAUCGCUAGAGUCCGGGAGAGGAUGGCGGAAUUCCUAGUGUAGAGGUGAAAUUCGUAGAUAUUAGGAAGAACACCGGUGGCGAAGGCGGCCAUCUGGCUCGGUACUGACGCUCAGGCGCGAAAGCGUGGGGAGCAAACAGG